rnacentral:rRNA from 1 species
UACGAAGGAUGCAAGCGUUAUCCGGAUUCAUUGGGUUUAAAGGGUGCGUAGGCGGCCUGAUAAGUCAGUGGUGAAAUCUCCUCGCUUAACGAGGAAACUGCCAUUGAUACUGUUGGGCUUGAGUACAGAUGCUGUGGGCGGAAUAUGACAUGUAGUGGUGAAAUACAUAGAGAUGUCAUAGAACACCGAUUGCGAAGGCAGCUCACAAAAACUGUAACUGACGCUGAGGCACGAAAGUGCGGGGGAUCAAACAGG